rnacentral:rRNA from 1 species
GCUGAACGCUGGCGGCGUGCCUAACACAUGCAAGUCGAGCGUGAUUUAUGAGGACGAAACUUCGGUCUAGGAAUCAUAAUGAAAGCGGCGGACGGGUGAGCAACGCGUAAGCAACCUGCCCUUGACACAGGGAUAGCCUCGGGAAACCGGGAUUAAAUCCUGAUAACGCCAAAGAGUCACAUGGCUCUUGGGCCAAAGAUUUAUCGGUCAAGGAUGGGCCUGCGUCUGAUUAGUUAGUUGGUGGGGUAACGGCCUACCAAGACGACGAUCAGUAGCCGACCUGAGAGGGUGAUCGGCCACAUUGGAACUGAGACACGGUCCAAACUCCUACGGGAGGCAGCAGUGGGGAAUAUUGCACAAUGGGCGAAAGCCUGAUGCAGCAACGCCGCGUGAGCGGUGAAGGCCUUUGGGUCGUAAAGCUCUGUCCUUGGGGAAGAAACAAAUGACGGUACCCAAGGAGGAAGCCCCGGCUAACUACGUGCCAGCAGCCGCGGUAAGAC